UAUUUUUUACAAUAUAUUUUUAAUAAGAAAACUGUCAGUUUUCUUGUGGGGAUUUUUGAUGUUUUUAUUGUAUUAAAAACUAUUGCAAAUCAGCUUACAGUUUCAAUGUAGGAAAAGGGGUCUGGCUCCUUAGGCAGGCCUGAUGUGGGCCAUAAAUAUGAUACAAAUUUUGAGAGCAGAAAAAAUCACAGGGAUAUUUCAAACUUGCUGACUUUGUGUUACCCCGUAGGAAAUGAAUCUACCAAUAAUGGGCCUUAUUAUUCCACCUCCUGUAGACUAACAAGAGCAAUUCUGGUUGUUUAUUUAGAUACACUGAUUUUGCAGACUAUACCUCGAGAUGGUUGAGCUUAAUGUGGUCAUACUUAUUUGACUAAGGGUAAAUUUUUAGCUCUGGCAGAGAGCAGAUGUAGCUGUCAACAACUUCCAAGCAUAGCUGUCUUUAAGGGAGCUCUUUCUAUUAACAGCAAACACUCAGUGAAUGAGAGGGCAGUACUUGUACAGUGCAUGUCCACAGUUACAUGCAUAUGGCAAAGCAUACUUCAGCUUUUGGUUUUGAAACUCAUCUCCCACUAAGGCCAAAGCCCUGACAUCCUUACUGCCGUGUGUCUGGGAUUUUGUUUCAGCGUAUGUCCAGUCUUAUCUUAUGAGCUGAACACCUUCAGUAUGUAUAUGUGCAAUUAGCAGUUUGUUCUUGCAUGGGUCUGUCAGGGCUUGGGAGACAUUCGGCAUGUGCAUGGGUAGGUUCCCCUGGCUUGAUUUUUCUCUGUGAGGAACCUGGUUCAUAUGCAUCGGCACUGCUCUGCAGCCAAGCCCUCAUCUGAAAGUAAUUGAGUGGCUCUCUUCAAACCUGCCUUGUUGCCCCAACCAAAACAUUAGUGUGAGCCCAGUCCCUGACAGCUCACUGCGGUUGGCUCUCUGUGGGCUGAUUUGCGUGCUGUGUUGACUGAGUUUCCUCUCAGCUCUAAAGACUGUGUAUCAUUUAUCUAUUUUUUUUACAGGUGUCAUUAUGCAAAUUAUGUAUGCAUACAAAUAUAAACACAUAUACACAAAUCUUACGUGGAUAAAUAUGUAAAAACAAACUUCAAUUAUACCUACAAACAUCCAUGUAUAUGUAUAUAUUUGCCAUAAUAUAUUAUUGCAAAGGUAUUAUCUCCACAGUUGAUGAUGGUCUGAAUGCCAUUGCAGCUACUGUUAUUGUCCUUUGGUUGGAGUGAUACCCGUCCAGCACUGCCCUUUAUUAGAAGAUUAUCCGAACUUCUCAGUUAUGCAAACAAACAAAAAUGUAUUCUGUAGGUUUGUUACAUUGGUCACAAUGUGAAGUGCAUUUGUAUGAAUUGAAAGCACAUGGGACUGCAAGCUAUAGCUACAUUACAAGUUUCCAAGGAUAUACUGCUGUCAAUGUCAUUUUUUUUAGCAAAAGUAUCUUCACCAAACCUCAAACUACACCUCAAGAAGCCAAGAAAUAAUAAUGGUGGUUUGAGGCAUGAAACAAAGGAUGGUAUUGUUGUGUGGAGGAAGCAAGCACAACCUAGGUAGGUAAAGCAUGGUAAGUCCAGGUGCAGUCUCACAUCAGUGCCUGACUGCCUGCAUUCCAUUGGCUUCCUUGCUGCAUUUAUUUCUUUUCCUAUGAGAUGCCAAAGCCCCAGCCAUGCUAGAGUGUGUGUCUAAGCAAUGAGCUGCUCUGUUGAUUAAUCUGCUGUCGCUGUGGAGCAAAUUGCUUGGCAUGUUUUAGCUGUGACAGGUGGGUUUCUAUUAGCCAGUGUUCACGUAGCUUGCACUAUCCAUCACAUAAAGAAUCAUGUCAUGUCAGAGCUGCAUUGUGAUCAUGACAAGAAGACAGAUCAGGUAUCGUAUAGGGGAAAUAAAAAUACAUGCAUGGUGCAAAUAAAAAAAAUCUUUAGGGUUUCUUUGUUUGUUUGCUUUGUAAUUAAGAAGACACAGAGAUGCAGGAUGAAAUUGGGAAAUAGAAACUGAUAACUGAGUUAGAGGGACAUGGUUUUCAUCCCAGAGGUUUUUACAGAGUACACAGGGAUUAACUGAGUUGUUGAAGCUUGUACUCUCUCUUGCUAAUUAAGCCUAAGUUCAAUACAGAAUAAUUGCUUGUGCAUUGCAGGUAAGGUGAAGGAGGGAACUCGUUGCUGUUGUGCAGUUCUGCAGCAGGCAAGACCUGAGCUGCAUAAAAAAAAGCAUUUAUCUAUGGUAAUGUUUUUGUCACCUUUUUGAUACUUUAGAAAUAUUCCUAAUUCACUGUCUUCCAGGUAGAGAAGUUAUUUCUAUUAUAUAAAUGAUAUUAAAUAUGUAUAUUAAAAUGUAAUGUCCUUUGGACAGUUCUAACUUGUGGGAUGAAAUGGCAAGGCAGAUGGGGAAAAUGUCUGUGGGAACAGGGGAGUAACUGGAAGAUAAGUGAAAAAAACAGGAUCUGACUAUUAAAGACAUCUGGGAGGUUUGUAUGUCUAAAAAAUUUGGGGAUUUACAAUCACAACAUGCUAUAAAACUGGAGUUGCAAAUCAAACUUCUCUUACUUUAUAUGCCUUGCAGGGGGAGUGAGCCAUGUUUUGUGAGUCAAACACAGAACAAAAUAGAAACCCCCAAAACACCCCAAGCACACUGGGAAGUCACCCAGAGAGAAGAGAUUACGUUUAGAAGAGCUUUUGUUCCCAGUGAGCUAAAGAUAUUAAUACGCAUCUGGUAUACAAUGAUAUCAGCAUACUGAAUUGCAGGAAGAGCAGGUUAUUGGGGAGUCAGGAUCUGUUGUUGAGAUUUGUUUGUACUCAGUAUUUAGCAAAAAGAAAAGGAAUAUAAUUAGAAGACUGUGAACUGGGGUAAGAGUUGUUUCUUCUAAAGAAGAAACAAUGAGGAGAGGAUGUCUGCUGAAAUAGUCUCUUCAUGCAGGCAGCUCAGAGAUGUCCACGGAAGGAAAUCUGUUCAGUAGCCCAUAAUCGCUCUGAGUUCCAUGUAGAUGUUGAUCUUUUGUUCAGCUGAUUUCCUUUUGGUAGCUGUUUUCUGCUUUGCAAUCAAGAGAUAGAAUAAACGGGACUCCUGCUUUUCCUUAUUCUUAUCGAACGACAGAGGAAUCUUAAGGCCAGGUGUUGGUGUAUGCUAGUUGCUCUCCAGGGAACAAAAGCAGCAAGCAGGUGGAGACAGAAUGGUUCGCUUCCAAAUGUUUCAGAGUUCUUGGGCUUGGGAUGUGUUACCUCCUAGCUCAGUUCGACGCAAGGUGGUGGCUUGCAAAAGGAAGCCUCCCAUGGCAGCCUUCAGCCAGCAUAGCUUUACCAGGCUCCCGUUGAAAUGAAGUGAGCGUUUAACUCAGAUGAUAACUGUGUGUCUUGUGGGUUCCUUCACAUCUCCAGUCCGGUUACUGGGAAGUUUUCUCCUCCAACCACCCUUUGACUGUCUAUAAAUAAGUGUAACAAAAAGGGUACUGAGUACUAAUUCACAGUGAAUCACAGCUGAACAGUAUGAUCAGGUGAAUCCCAUAAAGAGAACUGACAGUGUAUUCAGAUCGGGUGUUUGCCAUUCAAGGAUCUGCACCUCUUAUGAUCUAUUUGGGCCCAUCUUUCUCUAGCCUUUAGAAAAGACUUCUAGAGUCUUGCUGGUUGUCUUAUUAACAUGUAGAGAUGGCUAACUGGUGAAUCACAGCUUCCUUUAAGUAGCCCCUGACAUCUGUAGCAUUUUGUCAAAGUGUAGAGGGAAAUGAGAUGAAAGGCUUAAAAUGCUGUGUGGCUUUUCCAAUUUUAAGUAAUGUCAGACAUUCUUUGAAGUAAUUUGGCCUCUUGUGAAAAAUGUUCCCUGUGUUCAAGGGCAUCAAAACCAGGCAGCCCUCCUAAAAAUAGUACAUACUUAUUUGUUGAGUUAAAAGUUUCACAGGUAUCCUUUUUAUGCAUCCUACUUUGUUUAUCUGUGAAGGUGCUCAUUUGUUUGUUUUCCUUGCAAGAUUCCUGAGAACGUUCUUAUACUUCCAAACCACAUUUCUCGAAUCUGAGUAUGGGAAGGGGGUAGUACAUAGAUUACUUGCUGAAUAUACUAAAACUCAAUCAUAUUUAACUACUUUAUGAAGUCUGUUUAAGUUUUGUAACAUUUAACUACUUUAAUUCUAGGCUAGAUCCUCUUUUCUGCUAACUUGUUUUCCUAGUGAAAAAAGAGAAAAUAAUAGGUGCAUUAAUUGUUAGUUAAGGUAGCAGGCCAUGGUGAACCUCUUAACAUUCUCCUAUUUUAUGAGCAUAAAACUUCUAUUUUAAUAAUGCCUUGCAAUAAAGGAUCUUUUCAUGGCAGCUAAAUGAUGUACAAUGGUAAUAUUUCUACAAGAAAAUUAGAUUUUGAUAUUGCCUUGGUUUUCAGUGAAACAAAAGAAUUUGUGAAGAACUUGAAAGAGAAUACCACUCAUCAUCAUGGACAGCUGAUGAAGAAGACGGAACCAGGGAAGAGUGGUUGAGAUUCUUUUUUUCUAGUUAAAGGAAGCAGGAGAUGUUCUUGCUCUAGCAAACAGCACUGACAUGAUCAAGAAUCUCUGAAAAUCCCUGGAGAGAUCUCUCCAAGUGAGCAUUGAAUUAACUUCCUUUCCUACUGUUCCACUCUGUACAAAAGAAGUCCUUCCUUCAAAAGUCCUUGGAAUACAAUGCUGUGUUUUGUAAGCAGAGUCCAGAAAAGCACAAACACCUCUAACAAAAGAAUAGUAAAUAAUGGCUAUUUCUACUCUCAUUACCCUGGGCUGCACUUCCUCUGCUAUCAGGCACUGUGACAGCAGGGAGGCAGGCAUUCUCUUGCUACUUUAUGAUUCAGUAAGAAAAGGAUGAGGUUCCAGAAGUGAAGGAUGUAGAAGAGAUGACUUCAGUUGGUGCACAAGACAUUUAUUUCAAGUAGCCGUUUCAGGGCUAAGACUUUGCCCACCAUCUUCACCCCCUGCAGUACUCUGGUUUCUGAAACUUCAAGCCUGCUGAGCAAGCCUGUUAGGUUUCACAGAAGGAAAAUUCAGAUGUGUAGACUCAGGGGAGCUGGGGAGUCCUCUGCAAAGUGGACUUGAAAAUACUUCUGCAAUUUGCUGAAACAAGUAAACUGAAGUGCAGAAGAGAGGCUGAGACGUGGCAAGGAAUCGGUUAAUCCUGAAAUGUAAAAUAUGUGAAAAAUCUGCACUAUUUUGAUUUUUAGCAUAUAUGGUAUUGCUGGGUUAGGUUUCCUAGGGUUUCAUAUGUACAAAAAAAUCACUCAUCACAAUACUGUGAAAUAAAUGCAUUUACAUGCCAUACCAGAAUCUGAUAUUAUUUGCCUGUACAGGGUUUCAUAAGGUGGACCUCUGUGGAAAAUGACUUAAGACUUCCAGCAGUAACUUCUCCUUCUCUCUUGGAAGAGAAAGAUAUCCUUGUGCUCUUGGUUCUGUGUAUUCUGGAGCUUUCCUGUCAGCUUGAGUGGAUCAGAACAAGUCUGUCUCCAUUGAUCAGACUUCUGAAGAUUAAUGCUCAAACACUGAAACUUUCCCCACGCUGCACUGCUAAAUUGAUGCAGCAAAACACUUGAACACACACAAUCAAACUGAAGUUUAAAACAAGUCACACAGAAUUGAGUUUACCUUUGUAUUAGUUUAAAAUCUGCUUGAAGACCAUUAUCUUUGUGCAUCCUUUCAGGAAAGCUUUAUUAGGCACCAGAGGAAAUUAUUUCUAGACCAGAUGUAACCUAAAUACACUCCAGGAUUGCUGCCCAUUAGUUUUUGUUUUUAAAGACUGGAAUAGAAAAUUAAGUGCAAAUGAAAUGUUUAGGAAAGUAUGACCAUAACUACAUCAAUCUGAUUAUGCAAUUAAAUGGCCUUUAUAAUAAUAAAAAAAAGACUGUGCUCUCUAAAUGUUAGACAUAUGCCAGUAAACCAGUUUUACUUUCAGUUGCUGAAUAAGAAGCGUGGGAGCGCAUUGUUCCAUUUCAUUUUCUUCUCUGCUGCUUUCUGUUUAAAGUCAGACAUAGCGAAAAAAGAGGAGCUCCUCAGUAAGAGCUGUAGUAUGGUUUGUCCUUGAUUUACACAAAGUCAAUGUUGCUGUUUGAAACAGUCCCUCAAGUUGUUACUUUUAAAUGUUAGCUUUAGCAACUCUAAAAUUAGUUUUAGCUUAGCAUGGUAACCAGGGGUUAUUAUUUUUCCCCUUCAAUGAGAGGGAGUCUGAAUAUCAAAUUCAUACACUUUGGUCCUUCUUUGAUUAAUGAACAGGCUCUUUCAGUGUGUGGUUUAAAAUGCACUUAUAAAAAUGAAUUUUACAGCAUUAAUUUAAAAAAGUAAUAUAUGAGUAUGGAACUCCUGUUUCAUCUUCCC
rnacentral:lncRNA from 1 species